AGAGUUUGAUCAUGGCUCAGGAUGAACGCUAGCGGCAGGCCUGAUACAUGCAAGUCGAACGCUCAGUAGCAAUACUGGGAGUGGCGCACGGGUGCGUAACGCGUACACAAUCUACCUCUAAGCGGGGGACACCUCCUGGAAACGGGGAUUAAUACCGCAUAAUAUGCCGAAGUCGCAUGACUUUGGUAUUAAAGCAGCAAUGCACUUAGAGAUGAGUGUGCGUCCCAUUAGGUAGUUGGUGAGGUAACGGCUCACCAAGCCUAUGAUGGGUAGCCGGUCUGAGAGGAUGGUCGGCCACACGGGCACUGAGACACGGGCCCGACUCCUACGGGAGGCAGCAGUAAGGAAUAUUGGUCAAUGGUGGAAACACUGAACCAGCCAUGCCGCGUGGAGGAAUAAGGUCCUACGGAUUGUAAACUCCUUUUGACGAGGAAGAAAAUGUUAGAUUUAUCUAAUUUUGACGGUACUCGUGGAAUAAGCACCGGCUAACUCCGUG
rnacentral:rRNA from 1 species